GGAAUUUUCCGCAAUGGGCGAAAGCCUGACGGAGCGACGCCGCGUGUAGGACGAAGCACCUCGGUGUGUAAACUACUGUCAGGGAUUAGGAAGCAAGUGACCAAUCCCAAAGGAAGCCUCGGCUAACUCCGUGCCAGCAGCCGUGGUAAUACGGAGGAGGCAAGCGUUGUUCGGAAUUACUGGGCUUAAAGCGUGUGUAGGCGGGAUAGUAGGUAUCGUGUGAAAGCCCUCGGCUCAACCGAGGAACGGCACGGUAAACCACUAUUCUUGAGGCCAGCAGGGGAACCUGGAACUUUGGGUGGAGCGGUGAAAUGCGUAGAUAUCCAAGGGAACGCCGGUGGCGAAAGCGGGGUUCUGGGCUGGUUCUGACGCUGAGACACGAAAGCCAGGGGAGCGAAAGGGAUUAGAUACCCCAGUAGUC
rnacentral:rRNA from 1 species